GAUGAAGAACGCAGCGAAAUGCGAUACGUAAUGUGAAUUGCAGAAUUCAGUGAAUCAUCGAAUCUUUGAACGCAUAUUGCGCUCUCUGGUAUUCCGGAGAGCAUGCUUGUUUGAGUAUCAGUAAACACCUCAACUCCCCUUUCUUUUUUUGAAAUGGGAGCUGGACUUGAGUGAUCCCAACGCUUUUCUCACCGAAAAGUGGCGGGUUACUUGAAAUGCAGGUGCAGCUGGACUUUUCUCUGAGCUAAAAGCAUAUCUAUUUAGUCUGCCUAAAAAACAGAUUAUUACCUUUGCUGCAGCUAACAUAAAGGAGAUUAGUUCUUGUGCUGACUGAUGCAGGAUUCACAGAGACAGCUUCGGCUGGCCUUUGUAAACUCGAUCUCAAAUCAAGUAAGACUACUCGCUGAACUUAAGCAUAUCAAUAAGCGGAGGA
rnacentral:misc_RNA from 1 species